rnacentral:rRNA from 1 species
GUGAACGCUGGCGGCAUGUCUAAGGCAUGCAAGUCGAACGUAUACUUCGGUAUACGUGGCGAACGGGAGAGUAACACAUUGGUAAUCUACCUCUAUCUUGAGUAUAACCCAGAGAAAUUUGGGACAAUCCUCGAUAGUCAUGGGGGGACAUAAGUCAUUCCCAUGUAAAGCUUCGGCGGAUAGAGAGGAGCCUAUGGCUUAUCAGCUUGUUGGCAGGGUAAUGGCCUACCAAGGCGACGACGAGUAACGGGUGUGAGAGCAUGACCCGUCCCACUGGGACUGAGAUACUGCCCAGACUCCUACGGGAGGCUGCAGUCAAGAAUCUUCCUCAAUGAGCGAAAGCUUGAAGGAGCAAUGCCGCGUGAUCGAUGAAGCCCCUCGGGGUGUAAAGAUCUUUUAUUAGGGACAAAUUCGUGAUGGUACCUAAAGAAUAAGUCACUGCUAACUUCGU